AGCGAACGCUGGCGGCGUGCUUAACACAUGCAAGUCGAACGUGAAAGUAGCAAUAUGAGUAAAGUGGCGUACGGGUGAGUAACACGUGGGUAAUCUACCUUAGAGUCUGGAAUAACGUGCCGAAAGGCGCGCUAAUACUGGAUAGUUCAAGCGCAUCGUAGAGGUGCGAUUGGGAAAGGGAGCUCGUAAGAGCCUUCGCUUUAGGAUGAGCCCGCGUCUGAUUAGCUAGUUGGUGAGGUAAUGGCUCACCAAGGCGACGAUCAGUAGCUGGUCUGAGAGGAUGAUCAGCCACACUGGAACUGAAACACGGUCCAGACUCCUACGGGAGGCAGCAGUGGGGAAUCUUGCGCAAUGGACGAAAGUCUGACGCAGCCACGCCGCGUGAGUGAAGAAGGCCUUCGGGUUGUAAGCUCUGUCGGAGGGGACGAAAACGUACAUUAGGUUAAUAAGCUAGUGACUUGAUGGUACCCUUAAAGGAAGCACCGGCUAACUUCCG
rnacentral:rRNA from 1 species